rnacentral:rRNA from 1 species
CGCGCGUAGGUGGUUCGUUAAGUUGGAUGUGAAAGCCCCGGGCUCAACCUGGGAACUGCAUCCAAAACUGGCAAGCUAGAGUACGGUAGAGGGUGGUGGAAUUUCCUGUGUAGCGGUGAAAUGCGUAGAUAUAGGAAGGAACACCAGUGGCGAAGGCGACCACCUGGACUGAUACUGACACUGAGGUGCGAAAGCGUGGGGAGC